rnacentral:rRNA from 4 species
AGAGUUUGAUCCUGGCUCAGGAUGAACGCUGGCGGCGUGCCUAAUACAUGCAAGUCGAGCGAACGGACGAGGAGCUUGCUUCUCUGAUGUUAGCGGCGGACGGGUGAGUAACACGUGGAUAACCUACCUAUAAGACUGGGAUAACUUCGGGAAACCGGAGCUAAUACCGGAUAAUAUUUUGAACCGCAUGGUUCAAAAGUGAAAGACGGUCUUGCUGUCACUUAUAGAUGGAUCCGCGCUGCAUUAGCUAGUUGGUAAGGUAACGGCUUACCAAGGCAACGAUGCAUAGCCGACCUGAGAGGGUGAUCGGCCACACUGGAACUGAGACACGGUCCAGACUCCUACGGGAGGCAGCAGUAGGGAAUCUUCCGCAAUGGGCGAAAGCCUGACGGAGCAACGCCGCGUGAGUGAUGAAGGUCUUCGGAUCGUAAAACUCUGUUAUUAGGGAAGAACAUAUGUGUAAGUAACUGUGCACAUCUUGACGGUACCUAAUCAGAAAGCCACGGCUAACUACGUGCCAGCAGCCGCGGUAAUACGUAGGUGGCAAGCGUUAUCCGGAAUUAUUGGGCGUAAAGCGCGCGUAGGCGGUUUUUUAAGUCUGAUGUGAAAGCCCACGGCUCAACCGUGGAGGGUCAUUGGAAACUGGAAAACUUGAGUGCAGAAGAGGAAAGUGGAAUUCCAUGUGUAGCGGUGAAAUGCGCAGAGAUAUGGAGGAACACCAGUGGCGAAGGCGACUUUCUGGUCUGUAACUGACGCUGAUGUGCGAAAGCGUGGGGAUCAAACAGGAUUAGAUACCCUGGUAGUCCACGCCGUAAACGAUGAGUGCUAAGUGUUAGGGGGUUUCCGCCCCUUAGUGCUGCAGCUAACGCAUUAAGCACUCCGCCUGGGGAGUACGACCGCAAGGUUGAAACUCAAAGGAAUUGACGGGGACCCGCACAAGCGGUGGAGCAUGUGGUUUAAUUCGAAGCAACGCGAAGAACCUUACCAAAUCUUGACAUCCUUUGACAACUCUAGAGAUAGAGCCUUCCCCUUCGGGGGACAAAGUGACAGGUGGUGCAUGGUUGUCGUCAGCUCGUGUCGUGAGAUGUUGGGUUAAGUCCCGCAACGAGCGCAACCCUUAAGCUUAGUUGCCAUCAUUAAGUUGGGCACUCUAAGUUGACUGCCGGUGACAAACCGGAGGAAGGUGGGGAUGACGUCAAAUCAUCAUGCCCCUUAUGAUUUGGGCUACACACGUGCUACAAUGGACAAUACAAAGGGCAGCGAAACCGCGAGGUCAAGCAAAUCCCAUAAAGUUGUUCUCAGUUCGGAUUGUAGUCUGCAACUCGACUACAUGAAGCUGGAAUCGCUAGUAAUCGUAGAUCAGCAUGCUACGGUGAAUACGUUCCCGGGUCUUGUACACACCGCCCGUCACACCACGAGAGUUUGUAACACCCGAAGCCGGUGGAGUAACCUUUUAGGAGCUAGCCGUCGAAGGUGGGACAAAUGAUUGGGGUGAAGUCGUAACAAGGUAGCCGUAUCGGAAGGUGCGGCUGGAUCACCU